ensembl:lncRNA
AUGGAACAAGAAUGGAACUUUUUUGUAAAUCCAAAUGGAAAACUCCUGAUAGGCAUCAGUCUUCAAGAUAAUUGUGAGAAGACACUGCAUGUUCUCAGAGUGAACAAGCUAAAGGAUCUUCUUAGCUGUUGAAGGUCUGUGAAACUGAAGUUUGUUAAAACAGCUGUAGAUUCUGAUGUCUGUUUCCACGAGUCCUGCAGAGUAUGCGACACACAGACGAUAACUGCCACCACACCAUGAGAAGUGUCUCUCUCUCUCACACACACACACACACACACACACACUUGAGUAAAUAAAAACUCACAAGAAGUUCACGAUGUUUUAAAAAAAAAAUAAUUUUAAUGUCAAAAUAGUUUCUCCCCCACUUGUCACGGGUCUGUAAGGGCACUUGUCGGGGGUCACCAAGACCACUUGUUGCGGGUCUGUAAGGGCACUUGUCGGGGUCACCAAGACCACUUGUUGCGGGUCUGUAAGGGCACUUGUCGGGGUCACCAAGACUACUUGUUGCGGGUCUGUAAGGGCACUUGUCGGGGUUCACCAAAACCACUUGUUGCGGGUCUGUAAGAGCCCUUGUCGGGGUCACCUAAACCACUUGUUGCGGGUCUGUAAGAGCACUUGUCAGAGGUCAACAAGACUCCUUGUCGGGGGUCACCAAGACCACUUGUUGCGGGUCUGUAAGGGCACUUGUCAGAGUUCACCAAGACUCCUUGUCGGGGGUUACCAAGACCACUUGUCGGGGUCUGUAAGGACACUUGUCGGGGGUCACCAAGACCACUUGUUGCGAGUCUGUAAGAGCACUUGUCGGCGUCACCAAGACCACUUGUCGUGGGUCUGUAAGGGCACUUGUCGGGGUUUGUAAGGGAACUUGUCAGAGGUCGCCAAGACCCUUUGUUGGGGUCUGAAGGAGCACUUGUCAGAGGUCACCAAGGCCCCUUGUCGCGGGUCUGUAAGGGCACUUGUUGGAGGUCACCAAGACCCCUUGUCGGGGUCUGUAAGGGCACUUGUCAGAGGUCACCAAGGCCCCUUGUCACGGGUAUGUAAUGGCACUUGUCAGAGGUCGCCAAGACCCCUUGUUGGGGUCUGAAGGAGCACUUGUCAGAGGUCACCAAGACCCCUUGUCACGGGUAUGUAAGGGCACUUGUCAGAGGUCACCAAGGCCCCUUGUCGGGGUCUGAAGGAGCACAUGUCAGAGGUCACCAAGGCCCCUUGUCGCGGGUCUGUAAGGGCACUUGUUGGAGGUCACCAAGACCCCUUGUCGGGGUCUGUAAGGGCACACGUCAGAGGUCACCAAGGCCCCUUGUCGCGGGUCUGUAAGGGCACUUGUUGGAGGUCACCAAGACCUUGAUUCUUGAAAAAGACAAAGCUGACGAGUUUCCUGUGGUGGUUGAAUCAGGUGUAGAUCUGUUAAGUAAUGACAUACCUUUUCCUCUGUGGAUUUAAGAAGACUUACUGUAAAAAAAAAAAAAAACAUAGGUUUCUAGAAAAUUCUACGAGAUGCACUGAUCCCACUCCAGUCUGCUUUCUCCCUGCAGAUGUCCGUCCAAAAUUAGCAACGACACUAAAGUGUUGACAAUAUAUAGGCUUCGUCUCCACCCACUUGUGCACUUUUGUCUCCGCCCACAAGCUGUACUCACCAGAACAGUACAACAUCCAUCAUUACAAACCUGAUGGAGGGUGUUAGAAAGCAAGUGUUCAGGCAUUCAAGGCAUUGUGACAGUGAUAAAGUUAUCGGCACACAUCGGCACACAUUUGUUGGUUCAGUCUGCCUGCCUAAAAUUAUACAUUCAUUUGAUCAAGACAAAAAUGUAAAUUCUCUCAUCAUUUACUCACCAUCAUGUCAUUACAAAAUCUCCAACUUUUCGGUGCAAAACAAAAGUCCUGUGUACUUUCACUUCCCUACUACAUUCAUACCAAUAAAAUUGAAUCACUAUAUAUCCCAGUAAAACAGUGUUAAAUAUCACAGAGCAUUAGCAAAACUCUCAUUAAACACAGACUGCUGUUCAAACAUGUAAUGAGCUGAGGCACAGGAUGACAUCAGCUGCCAUCAAAAGGGGCUAUACAAUCCAACAUGGUGUCAAACUUGCCCAUCUGAGAAUAUGCGAGAAAGUUAAACAACAUCCUGUCAACUGAAAUCAUAUGAAAACAUGCAGUUGAUUCAAUCAAGCUUCAAAU